UGCAUGCCCCUUGUCUCCCAUCUCUGCAUGGCCUCGCCUGCUCCACACUGACAGCAGCAAUGUUUUCAGCUUUCAUGAAUGCUGCUGUGUGGCUGCAACCGAUGAAAAAUUCCAAUAGAUGGCAGAAUUGGCAAUAUACCGGAAGAAAUUAAAAUACCAUCUAAAGAGUGGAUGACACCAUUAGAAGCAAUGAUGUCGCUAUGAUCAAGAGGGAUUCCUUUGUCUCCAAACAGAAUUCUUCCCUGGCAAAAUGUCAAACAAAAAACCAACAACAACAGAAAGAUAUUGGGUCAGCCAAGUGAAACAAUGACAGGCAACCUGAGAUUCUCUAGGUCAUGUUACACAUCCUAAGGGAACAAUUAAAGACCCGUUUCAUUA